UCCACGUCAGUCAUUCUGAGCACCGCUGGUGGUAUAAUUUCACAGUGGUUAGUCAGGAAAUGCCAUCUGCUAUUAAGCACACCAACUGCAAUCAACAUAGGGAGAUCCACGCUUUGCUCCAACCCACUCAGUGCUAUUCACAUCCUGUCGACCAUCCCUGAAGAGUGACAACUGAUAUUGUAAAGAUUUACUGUGGCCCCAGCAGAAGAUGGAGACAUGUCAGUGUAGCUCUGUCUGCAGACCUGCAGACAUCUGAGCUGCUGGCAAGCCCUUCUCCACCCACCCACGGCCAGGGCCCGCUGCCUAUCCUGGCACCCACUGACUGGGCCGGCCAGGGCCUCCAGGACUAUGACCUUGGCAGCCACAGAAAGAAGAGCUCUGUGUCUCCCCUUCAGGUUCCAUCCCACUGCCAAAGGGCCAGAGAGAGAGCAGGGAAAUUUAUUGCUGACAUCUCUGGGCCCUUCGCCAUUAACAAAGAAGAAGCUGAAUGGGACCUAUGGAGCUUCCAGCCACUCCUUUCCACCUUCUGCGUGGCGUUGACUGCAGGAUUGAGGCCAGGAAGCCCAGAUCUUGUGUCCUGUUCACUAGAACUUUCUUCCAGAAAACAUUUCACUUUCUCAACCU